rnacentral:rRNA from 1 species
AGAGUUUGAUCCUGGCUCAGAACGAACGCUGGCGGCAGGCCUAACACAUGCAAGUCGAGCGCCCCGCAAGGGGAGCGGCGGACGGGUGAGUAACGCGUGGGAAUUUUCCUCAAGGUACGGAACAACUCAGGGAAACUUGGGCUAAUACCGUAUGAUGUCUAGCGACCAAAGAUUUAUCGCCUUGGGAUAAGCCCGCGUCAGAUUAGGUAGUUGGUGGGGUAACGGCCUACCAAGCCUGCGAUCUGUAGCUGGUCUGAGAGGACGAUCAGCCACAUUGGGACUGAGACACGGCCCAAACUCCUACGGGAGGCAGCAGUGGGGAAUCUUGCGCAAUGGGCGAAAGCCUGACGCAGCCAUGCCGCGUGAAUGAUGGAGGUCUUAGGAUUGUAAAGUUCUUUCGCCCGUGACGAUGAUGACGGUAACGGGAGAAGAAGCCCCUGGCUAACUUCGUGCCAGCAGCCGCGGUAAUACGAAGGGGGGCCUAGCGUUGUUCGGGAAUCACUGGGCGUAAAGCGCACGUACGCGGAUUUGUUAGUCAGGGGGUGAAAUCCUGGGGGCUCAACACCCGGAACCUGCCGUUGAUACUGCGCAGUCUCGAGU